AAGUCGUAACAAGGUUUCCGUAGGUGAACCUGCGGAAGGAUCAUUAUUGAAUACGAUUGGUACUGAUGCUGGCUCUUCACUGAGCAUGUGCUCGUUCCAUCUAUUUAUCUUCUCUUGUGCACAUCUUGUGGUCUUGAAUUGAAACCUUUCGCAUUCGUGCGGUUUGGGAGCUUGAAUAAACUCUGCUCCUGCUUCUUUCAAGGCCAUGUUUUCAUAUACACUAUAAAGUUACAGAAUGUCUUUUAACGAUUGCGCAAGCAGUCAUUAAACCUAUACAACUUUCAGCAACGGAUCUCUUGGCUCUC
rnacentral:misc_RNA from 1 species